AGUGAACGCUGGCGGUAGGCCUAACACAUGCAAGUCGAACGGCAGCACAGUAAGAGCUUGCUCUUACGGGUGGCGAGUGGCGUACGGGUGAGGAAUACAUCGUAAUCUACUUUUUCGUGGGGGAUAACGUAGGGAAACUUACGCUAAUACCGCAUACGACCUACGGGUGAAAGCAGGGGAUCUUCGGACCUUGCGCGAUUGAUUGAGCCGAUGUCGGAUUAGCUAGUUGGCGGGGUAAAGGCCCACCAAGGCGACGAUCCGUAGCUGGUCUGAGAGGAUGAUCAGCCACACUGGAACUGAGACACGGUCCAGACUCCUACGGGAGGAAGCAGUGGGGAAUAUUGGACAAUGGGGGCAAGACUGAUACAGCCAUACCGCGUGGGAGAAGAAGGCCUUCGGGUUGUAAAGCCCUUUUGUUGGGAAAGAAAAGCAGCAGGUUAAUACCCCGCUGUUCUGACGGUACCCAAAGAAUAAGCACCGGCUAACUUCGUG
rnacentral:rRNA from 1 species